rnacentral:lncRNA from 1 species
CUGAUUCUGAUGAAUCAGCUGGCCUGGGUCAUGCCUCUCAGGGAGAAAACCUUUGAGUCCACAGAGCUGCUCACAGAUACCACUGCCUGUGUGUAACUGCUGUAGACCACUGAGGCAGACCAGAGAGCAGAUAGGUGCUAAGCACCAGUGACAUUCUGAGGUCAUGGCACGAAUCACAGUGGGGCCUUGCCCGGGUCAGCAGUGCCCAGAGUCAGGGUCCUCCGCUGCCUGAGGCGUCAACAUGCCUGCCUGCAAUGUGUUUGUGCACGUGCGUGCACAUGUGUAUGUGGGGCCUAGGGGAUGCCAAAUUCCAGGGGCCAGAAAGAGCUUGGGAUAAAAAGAAACUUCAAGGGGACGGCUUUGACCUGGGCUGAGUCUGCCUGUGCCAUCCAACUGGAGUCUCAAGUCCUGAGGCAGGACGUCCAGAUGCCCCAGUGCAGGGUCCUCCUGAUCAACACCUGCUCCCCUGUACUCAUUAGCAACCUCACCCACCCUACUCUCAAAGCACACUUGGCUCUCGUAUCCAGGAGCUCUGCAUCUGUAGAUUCAGCAACAGCAGAUGGAAAAUAUUCAGAAAAUAAAUUGGACGGUUAUGUUUCUAUUGAACA